rnacentral:lncRNA from 1 species
GUUUUAGGACCCAAACAUACACUAAAUCAUUAAUAAUCCAUUAACUAAGAUCCAUAAAUUUAAGCAUAACCAAACUUUCUUACUCUUGUAGGGGAAAUUAGGUUUGGAUUUAGUCCGAGGAGUGAGCAAAAAUGUAAACAAAACCAACUUAGGUUGUUUCAUGCUUGGAGAUAACAUGGGUGCAGUAUACCGCAAUAUUUUCAUGUUUUUCGAGUGAUUAUAAACAUUAAUGAAUGAUAUUCCAAACAACGAGAAAAUCAAUACCAAACAAGGGCCUGACGAAAAACUUUAAAAAGCGAAAUAAAGUAGGAUCCUUUUCCAAAUAAUUGGAACCGCACAUUUUAAUUGUACGUUUUUUAAAAAAAUUAUUUAUAUCUCCGUUAUAGUUUCGUCCUUACCAAAAUACCAAAUAGUUUUCGUUAUUAAGCUUCUGUCUUAUUUUUCGUUGUCAACAACCGAAAAUAUGACAUUUUCUAAUGUUGAACAAUUGAAAAUAGGAUUGCAUAUUACAAAAGCUUGUUAGAAUAUGCGGUCCUAUUUUCGGUUGUUCAACAACCGAAAAUAAAACAUUUUAAGUUAUUAAACAACCGAAAACAAAACAUUUUCGGACGUUGAACCAUUGUAUAUUCCAACAAGUUUAUGGAAUACGCAUUUCUAUUUAAAAAAAUAAGUCAUUUUCGGUAGUUCAACAACUAAAAACAAGACAUUU